UCGAAAGACCGCCAAGCAAAAAGACCCGCGAACUUGUCUCCACGUACUAUUGGGAGUGAUGUGAUGGUUGCGGACUUUUUGCGUAGCCUUCCAUUAUCCCCUUGUGAGUACAUGUGCACUGACCCUUCGGAUGACGUGCUCAUUUUCUCGUCAAUCAACGAACCCCGGCGCAAGAUGCGCCAAGGAAAAUUGAACAAGAGUGCACGCCCCCAACCCGUUUGCGGGCGGGUAUUGGCGUAUGCAAUCUUCCGUACAACCAAACGACUCUCGGCAACGGAUAUCUCGGCUCUUGCAUCGAUGAAGAACGUAGCGAAAUGCGAUACUUGGUGUGAAUUGCAGAAUCCCGUGAACCAUCGAGUCUUUGAACGCAAGUUGCGCCUGAAGCCAUUAGGCAGAAGGCACGUCUGCCUGGGCGUCACGCAUUGCGUCACCUGCUCCCCCUUGCCUAAGCGUGCAUGUCGGGGCGUGGGUGGACAUUGGCCCCCCGUCCACGUUUUGUGGUCGGUCAGCUUAAAAAAGAGUCCCCAAUGACGGACAUCACGACAAGUGGUGGUUGCUAAAUCGUCGCAUCAUGUUGUGGAUGCCAUUGUUUGUUGUGGGUUGGCUCGUUGACCCUAAAGGUGCUAGUACUUGCGGCACCCCG
rnacentral:rRNA from 1 species